rnacentral:rRNA from 1 species
GGACUACUGGGGUUUCUAAUCCCGUUCGCUCCCCUGGCCUUCGCCCCCGAGCGUCAGGUGCCUCCCAGGACACUGCCUUCGCCUUUGGUGUUCCUCCGGAUCUCUACGCAUUUCACCGCUCCACCCGGACUUCCAUGUCCCUCUGAGGCCCUCCAGUCCAGCCGUCUUGUGAGUCCUUCGGCAGUUAAGCCGCCGACUGUCACCCCCAACGCGCCAGACCGCCUGCGGGCGCUUUACGCCCAGUAACUCCGGACAACGCUCGCCCCCUACGUCUUACCGCGGCUGCUGGCAC